AUUGAACGCUGGCGGCAGGCCUAACACAUGCAAGUCGAGCGGAGCGGCGGACGGGUGAGUAAUGCCUAGGAAUCUGCCUGGUAGUGGGGGAUAACGUAGGGAAACGGGCGCUAAUACCGCAUACGAUCGGAUGAGCCGAGGUCGGAUUAGCUAGUUGGCGGGGUAAAGGCCUACCAAGGCAACGAUCCGUAACUGGUCUGAGAGGAUGAUCAGUCACACUGGAACUGAGACACGGUCCAGACUCCUACGGGAGGCAGCAGUGGGGAAUAUUGGACAAUGGGCGCAAGCCUGAUCCAGCCAUGCCGCGUGUGUGAAGAAGGUCUUCGGAUUGUAAAGCCCUUUUAGUUGGGAGGCGGUACCCACAGAAUAAGCACCGGCUAACUUCGUGCCAGCAGCCGCGGUAAUAC
rnacentral:rRNA from 1 species